AAGGUAGGCAGUGCUUGCAAAGGCCUGAGCGCAAAGGCCACAUAAGGACAGUGAGAAGGCAGCCACCUGCAAGCCAGGAAGAAAGGUCUCACCAGAUACCAACCCUGCCAGCAUGUUGAUCUUGGACUUCCAGCCUCCAAAACUGUGAGAAGGCCUUCUGCUCACAUGGGCUUCCGUGCACCUGCUUCAGGAGACAGCAACACUUGCGCCCGCACCGCGGCAGGCUCCCAUCACCUGGUGGAUAUGCCGCGCCGAGUCUCAUCACACCUUAGUGAAGGAACACAUGGACCCAUAUGUUAGCGGAUGUAUUUACAUCGUUUUAUACAGAAAGGGGAAGAAAACUGCAUACCUCAGAAAGGGGUUGCUCCUCACUCUGAGUACUAGACUAAAGAUAAAAAGACUAGAUAAAAGUACUAGACUAAAGACAGAGCUGACCCAUGACAGUUUACGCACUGAGAGCAUCUAAAGAAUUUGAAUGAGGAGCAAAGCUUUUUCAAAGGUUGGAUUAAACUACAAUUGUCCUCUCCAAAGAAUGUUCAGCUAUCCUUUAUGUACUCUGUUGCAAGUAUUUCAAGAAGGAGGUGAGAAUAUAUGAGGUUCACGUAGCAGCAAAGGAACUACAUGGUAGAAGAGGGCACCUUUUUUCCAACAUCUCUUUAUGCUAAUGUUGUACAUCUGCAAGAUGCAAGAAGAGGACAAGAGCCUAUUUUUGUAGCAUUCUUGAGUCAAGAGCUUCCAUGAAAAGCUUUAAGUAGCAACAAGCCUGCCAUUGAAAAAGAAAUAUUUGGUUUGGAAUUUGAGAUUGUUAAAAAUCAUUAUAGAAUGCAUGUUCUACUGUGAAAUAAACUGAUAAAUGAAUAGUAUGUUGGGGCAGCCCCUGAAAGGUCAUUUACACUACCUAGAUGCUUUAUAGUUAAGGAAAGUAGGUCCAGAGAGGGGAAAUGAUCUGACCAUGGUUUCAAAGUUAUUUAGUAAGAAAUAGAAUGAGGAGUAG
ensembl:lncRNA LINC01748 long intergenic non-protein coding RNA 1748